rnacentral:lncRNA from 1 species
CGCUCGUGAAUUCUUGUAACCAAGCAAUGGAUAUCUUUUCGGUGCUACUUUAAGCCACCUCUUGGACAUGCCCCUUCCCUUUUGUUAUGAUCCAAAUAUGGUGCAUGAAGUUUGUCUAAAUAUGUGUUAACUAGUUAAUCUACUUGCAGAUGUAUUUUGGAAAAAAAUAAGAUAAAACAGUAUGAACCCAAACCUUUUCUGUUUCUCCCCUUACAGUGCAGCCGCGUGCUAUAUUCUUUGGUUCUGGGUUUGCCUUGCAUAUAUUCAGUCUUCUUCAGUAUGUCAUGGCUACUUACUAUAAUAUCGGUGUCUAGACAUUCAGUUCCUCUCAUUAUUUAACCUUGGAAUCACCUUUUGCAGCUGGACCACAACUUAUGA